UCCGGGGUGCGACACAACCCAGGGCCGACCAGGCCGCGGCGCCCCGCCCUUUCCCGGGACGCGGGCCGGCCCGGGGCGGGGAGCGGGCGGGUGAGCGGGCGCUUACAGGUCGGUGCCGAGCCGCGUGAAGCCGGAGUUGAGCGAGGCCCGGGCUAUCCGGCGCCAGAGCAGGUCGCAGCCGGUGAAGCGCCGCAGCCAGCGGCACACCUGCGCCAGGCGGCCGAGGGCCCGCAUGUCCAGAGACGCACAGAGAGAGAGAAGACUCAGGCAGAGGGAGAAGCAGGCUCCAUGCAGAGAGCCCGACGUGGGACUCGAUCCCGGGUCUCCAGGAUCACGCCCUGGGCUGAAGGCGACACUAAACCGCUGAGCCACCGGGGCUGCCCAAGACCCUGCUUUCAAUUCUGAAGGGCAUAUACCCAGAAGGGGAAUUUCUGUGUCAAAUACAGGAUUCCAAUGUUUUAACAACAAUACAGAAGAUCACAUUCCCACCUAGACGCUAAGAUCAGGAAGCAGCAACAUGGCACUGGAAGAAAUUGCCUGUUUUCACUUUUAUGUACUUCCGAGUUUCUUUAGCAAGCACCAGUGAACAGAAUAACAUGGAAAACUCAACAAACAGGAGAAAGAGGAGAAGUUUUAAAACUUAACCCGAGCUCACCCACAGCGGAAAGUAAUGGUCCUAGAUCCCAGAGGCCCGGGCCACGCGACUGGGGCCACGUGACUGCGCCCACGUGACUGCGCAGAAGCAGGCGGUGGCCCGAGAGGCCCAACCAAUCAGAAGGCGCGCAGGGUGGCUUGAAACGGAUAAGGCUCACUCUCUGCCACUUUAGAACUUCAAUCCUGUGAGGGAGGCUGAGGAACCUAGCUUCUACUUCACUGUCCUCAAGUGAUGUGGCUGAAUUUCAUCCUUGGAUCUGACUCCUGGAUCCUUGGCUGUCUUCUGUGAAAUGAGCCCAAGGAUGGCCCAGCUCCACGUACGUAAUGUGGGACACCCUGAGAGAAAAGACGGGGAGAGAGGAAAAGUGAUGGCAGUGCAGGGAGGCAAGGGAAGGAGGGAGCUGAUGUGGAAAAGAAGGGAAGAGUUUGUGAAUAGGAGGGAGAUCAAAAAAGAAGAGACUAAGAAGGGACAGAGGUGAAGAGGAAAGGGGAGAGGUAAGGGGGAGCAAUAGGAAAGGAGGAGUCAAGAGAGGAAGAGGAAAGAUGGAGCCAUGGCCGAGCAUGCACUUAAGCCGGAGGAAGGUGGAGAGGAGAUGACAGUGGGGUCUUAGAAGAGUCAGAAUCACCUGAAGCAUAAUCCAGGUCCCCUGGGUAGGUAGCUCAGUGGGUUGAGUGUGGGACUCUCCCUUUGGAUCAGGUCAUGAUCUCAUGAGUCCUGGGGCUCCACGCUCAGUGGGUGGGGGGAGAGUCUGCUUGAAAAUUCUCUCCCUCUGCCCCUCCCCUUGCUCUUUCUCCCCUCUCUCUCUAAAAUAAAUAAAUCUUAAAAAAAAAGACAAUCACCUGAAGCAUAAUCCUAAUAUCUAAUCCUGCCUGAUGAAGGCAGGUUGGAACUGGGUCAGACUGCUUCUGAUCUGUGCUGUGGAAGUCUCUAAGCUGAGGCUGGGUUGCCGUAUUCAGUUUAUCGUUGCACCAAAUGGGCUCACCCAGUACACUAUUCUAGAGUCAUCAGUAGUUUGAUCCAAAGUUUUCCUUUUGGACCAUGUUGAGGUUUAUGGGUUUUUUGUUUUUUUGUUUGUUUGUUUGUUUUUUGUUUUUUUGUUUUUUUGUUUUUUUAAGAGAGAUAUAUUUUGUUACAAAGGUAAUGAUUUCAAAAAGUCUUUAUUUCAUUUCUUCCUCUAAAAGUCUGAACAGGUCCUGUGUUUUAUCUUAAACAUUGUGGACUAAGAAGGGCAGAUUUUUCUUUCCCUUCUUGGGUUUUCGUUGGGGCCUUGGGGCUCAAUAUCUUGAAGGGAAGGUCUUAGAGGAAGAGAGCAUAGCACAAAGGAAGGAGCAAUGGAAUAUUACUCAGCAAUAAAAAGGAAUGAAGCACUGUUACACACUCCAACAAGGAAGAACCUUGAAACAUUAUGCUAAGUGCAAGAAACUAGUCGCAAAAUACUAUAUAUUGUAUGAUUCCAUUUGUAUAAAAUGACCAGCAAAAUUCAGAAAGACAGAAAACAGAUCCGUGGUUGCCGGGGCUAGGGGAGGAUUUGGGGGAUGAGGGUGACUGCUAAAGGGAAUGGAGUAUCUUGUUAGGGAACUGAAAUGUCCCAAAAUUGAUUGUGGUGAUGGUGCACAACUCAGAAUAUACUGAAAACCAUUGAAUUGUACAUUUUAGAUGUAUGAAUUGCAUAGAAUGUGAAUUACAUCUGAAUAAAGUUGUGAAAGAAAGAAGGAAAGGGGGGAUAAGGGAGAAAGGAAGGGAGAAAGUAAAGGAAGGAAGCAGGGAAGGAAGGAAAAAGUGAGCAAAGAAGCAGAGGUUGAAGAUUGUAUCUAAUUUAAGAGGCCCAGAAUGGAUCUGUGUGGCUGGCAUUUAAGGAGGUAGUUAAGAGUGAAACUAAGGCCAAAGAACGCAGGACCUCUAAUUUCAUAUCAGCAUUUGAACUUGAUUGAUAGCCCUGACCUGUCAAUAUACUAGUCACUAGCCAUAUGUGGCUACUGAGCACUUAAAAUGUGGCUAGUCCAAUUUGAGGUGUGCUGUAGGCACAAAACACACAUAAGAUUUUGAAAAUUUAGUAUAAAAAGAAGAAUGUAAAAUUUCAUUAAUUUUUGUAUU